rnacentral:rRNA from 1 species
GAUGAACGCUGGCGGCGUGCCUAAUACAUGCAAGUCGAGCGAACAGACGAGGAGCUUGCUCCUCUGACGUUAGCGGCGGACGGGUGAGUAACACGUGGAUAACCUACCUAUAAGACUGGGAUAACUUCGGGAAACCGGAGCUAAUACCGGAUAAUAUAUUGAACCGCAUGGUUCAAUAGUGAAAGACGGUUUUGCUGUCACUUAUAGAUGGAUCCGCGCCGCAUUAGCUAGUUGGUAAGGUAACGGCUUACCAAGGCAACGAUGCGUAGCCGACCUGAGAGGGUGAUCGGCCACACUGGAACUGAGACACGGUCCAGACUCCUACGGGAGGCAGCAGUAGGAAAUCUUCCGCAAUGGGCGAAAGCCUGACGGAGCAACGCCGCGUGGGUGAUGAAGGUCUUCGGAUCGUAAAACUCUGUUAUUAGGGAAGAACAAAUGUGUAAGUAACUAUGCACGUCUUGACGGUACCUAAUCAGAAAGCCACGGCUAACUACGUG